rnacentral:tRNA from 1 species
UCCUGGCUGGCUCAGUUGGUAGAGCAUGAGACUCUUGAUCUCAGGGUUAUGAGUUCAAGCCCCACACUGGGCA